rnacentral:rRNA from 1 species
AUUGAACGCUGGCGGCAGGCCUAACACAUGCAAGUCGAGCGGAGCGGCGGAAGGGUGAGUAAUGCCUAGGAGUCUGCUUGGUAGUGGGGGAUCACGUCCAGAAAUGGGCGCUAAUCCCGCAUACUAUCGGUUGAGCCUCGGUCGGAUUAGGUAGUUGGUGGGGUAAAGGCCUACCAAGGCGACGAUCCGUAACUGGUCUGAGAGGAUGAUCAGGCACACUGGAACUGAGACACGGUCCAGACUCCUACGCGAGGCAGCAGUGGGGAAUAUUGGACAAUGGGCGAAAGCCUGAUCCAGCCAUGCCGCGUGUGUGAAGAAGGUCUUCGGAUUGGAAAGCAAUUUAAGUUGGGAGGCGUUACCAACAGAAUAAGCACCGGCUAACUUCGUGCCAGCAGCCGCGGUAAUUC